rnacentral:rRNA from 1 species
CACGUAGGGCGCAAGCGUUGUCCGGAAUUAUUGGGCGUAAAGAGCUCGUAGGCGGUCUGUUACGUCUGCUGUGAAAACCCAGGGCUUAACCCUGGGCUUGCAGUGGGUACGGGCAGACUAGAGUGUGGUAGGGGGAGACUGGAAUUCCUGGUGUAGCGGUGGAAUGCGCAGAUAUCAGGAGGAACACCAAUGGCGAAGGCAGGUCUCUGGGCCACAACUGACGCUGAGGAGCGAAAGCGUGGGGAGCGAACAGG